rnacentral:rRNA from 1 species
GAUGAACGCUAGCGAUAGGCUUAACACAUGCAAGUCGAGGGGCAGCAUGGUCUUAGCUUGCUAAGACUGAUGGCGACCGGCGCACGGGUGCGUAACGCGUAUGCAACUUGCCUCACAGAGGGGGAUAACCCGUCGAAAGACGGACUAAUACCGCGUACACUCCAUCUUGGGCAUCCAAGGUAGAGGAAAUGAAAUUCGCUGUGAGAUAGGCAUGCGUCCCAUUAGCUAGUUGGUGAGGUAACGGCUCACCAAGGCGACGAUGGGUAGGGGAACUGAGAGGUUGAACCCCCACAGUGGUACUGAGACACGGACCAGACUCCUACGGGAGGCAGCAGUGAGGAAUAUUGGUCAAUGGGCGAGAGCCUGAACCAGCCAAGUCGCGUGAAGGAUGACUGUCUUAUGGAUUGUAAACUUCUUUUAUACGGGAAUAACAAGAGUCACGUGUGACUCCCUGCAUGUACCGUAUGAAUAAGCAUCGGCUAACUCCGUG